rnacentral:rRNA from 1 species
AUUGAACGCUGGCGGCAGGCCUAACACAUGCAAGUCGAGCGGAUGAAGGGAGCUUGCUCCUGGAUUCAGCGGCGGACGGGUGAGUAAUGCCUAGGAAUCUGCCUGGUAGUGGGGGAUAACGUCCGGACACGGGCGCUAAUACCGCAUCCGUCCUGAGGUAGAAAGUGGGGGAUCUUCGGACCUCACGCUAUCAGCUGAUCCUAGGUCGGAUUAGCUAGUUGGUGGGGUAAAGGCCUACCAAGGCGACGAUCCGUAACUGGUCUGAGAGGAUGAUCAGUCACACUGGAACUGAGACACGGUCCAGACUCCUACGGGAGGCAGCAGUGGGGAAUAUUGGACAAUGGGCGAAAGCCUGAUCCAGCCAUGCCGCGUGUGUGAAGAAGGUCUUCGGAUUGUAAAGCACUUUAAGUUGGGAGGAAGGGCAGUAAGUUAAUACCUGGCUAUUUUGACGUUACCAACAGAAUAAGCACCGGCUAACUUCGUG